rnacentral:lncRNA from 12 species
CUUUGCUUAUCUAUACCAAUGCCUUCUGCUGCAUACACUAUUUGUAAGAGAAAAUUUCUGAAUCAGAUUGCUCCUACACACAUAAUAUAGUGUGUUUUUUCAAUUUUAAUGAGCGAUUGUAUUUUUAGAAGUAGUCUCAUCUUUUUUUUCUUUAAGAAUUCAGAAAUCAGUGCUAAUGGUAGAUCUUUCUGUGCUGAAGCUGGAGAAGAAACCGCUGUGUUUUUGUCACUGUUUGCAGGGGUGAGACCUUCCCACAUGUUCCUGUUAUUCCCUAACCUUCAUCUGUGUCAUCCAGCCUAUGCCAAAUUAAAAGAACACUAGAGGCCCACGCUCCUCAGAACAUAGCUAACUCUGUUGUGCCCAAGAUUGCAAAUCCGAGAAACCACCAAGGAGCCGACACCGAUGCAAACACACCAGGGUUUAUUUACAAGCUCGAGCUUGGGUCCAAGUAUACCCGACACAGCGAAGCAGGGACUUGGACCCCGAGGUGGGUUCCAGGUGAGUGUUAGGGGCUGGUCUAGGG